ensembl:snRNA U6 U6 spliceosomal RNA
GUGCUAUUUGGGCAGCACAGGUACUAAAACUGGAACGACAGAAGAAUAGCAUGGCCCCUGUGCAAAGAUGACACGCAAAUUUGUGAAGCAUUCCUUAUUUUU